rnacentral:rRNA from 1 species
GGGUGAGUAACACGUAUGGAACCUGCCCGUAGCAGGGGGAUAAGCGGAAGAAAUUCCGUCUAAUACCGCGUAAUAACUCCGAGGGGCAUCUCUUGGGGUUUAAAGGGUAACACCGGCUACGGAUGGCCAUGCGGCGCAUUAGCUAGUUGGCGGGGUAACGGCCCACCAAGGCGACGAUGCGUAGGGGUUCUGAGAGGAAGGUCCCCCACACUGGUACUGAGACACGGACCAGACUCCUACGGGAGGCAGCAGUGAGGAAUAUUGGUCAAUGGGCGCGAGCCUGAACCAGCCAAGUCGCGUGAGGGAAGACGGUCCUAUGGAUUGUAAACCUCUUUUGUCGGGGAGCAAAAGACGCCACGCGUGGCGUUCCGAGAGUACCCGAAGAAAAAGCAUCGGCUAACUCCGUGCCAGCAGCCGCGGUAAUACGGAGGAUGCGAGCGUUAUCCGGAUUUAUUGGGUUUAAAGGGUGCGCAGGCGGAAGAUCAAGUCAGCGGUAAAAUUGAGAGGCUCAACCUCUUCGAGCCGUUGAAACUGGUUUUCUUGAGUGAGCGAGAAGUAUGCGGAAUGCGUGGUGUAGCGGUGAAAUGCAUAGAUAUCACGCAGAACUCCGAUUGCGAAGGCAGCAUACCGGCGCUCAACUGACGCUCAUGCACGAAAGUGUGGGUAUCGAACAGGAUUAGAUACCCUGGUAGUCCACACAGUAAACGAUG